rnacentral:SRP_RNA from 1 species
GCCGGGCAUGAUGGCUCAUGCCUGUAGUCCCAGCUACUUGGGAGGCUGAGGCAGGAGAAUCACUUGAACCUGGGAGGUGGAGGUUGCAGUGAGCUGAGAUUGCACCACUGUACUCCAGCCUGGGUGACAGAGUGAGACUCCGUCUCAA